CGAGCGGCGGACGGGUGAGUAACACGUGAGAAUCUGCCCAUUAGAGGGGGAUAACCUGGGGAAACCCAGGCUAAUACCGCAUAAUCCCUACGGGGGAAAGCAGGGGAUCUUCGGACCUUGUGCUGAUGGAUGAGCUCGCGUCGGAUUAGCUUGUUGGUGAGGUAAUGGCUCACCAAGGCGACGAUCCGUAGCUGGUCUUAGAGGAUGAUCAGCCACACCGGGACUGAGACACGGCCCGGACUCCUACGGGAGGCAGCAGUGGGGAAUCUUGGACAAUGGGGGCAACCCUGAUCCAGCCAUGCCGCGUGUGUGAAGAAGGCCUUCGGGUUGUAAAGCACUUUCAGUAGGGAGGAAGGCUUAUCCUUAAUACGGAUGAGUACUUGACGUUACCUACAGAAGAAGCACCGGCUAAUUUCGUGCCAGCAGCCGCGGUAAUACGAAAGGUGCGAGCGUUAAUCGGAAUUACUGGGCGUAAAGCGCGCGUAGGCGGUUUGCUAAGUC
rnacentral:rRNA from 1 species